UGAGGAAUAUUGGGUCAAUGGGCGAGAGCCUGAACCAGCCAAGUCGCGUGAAGGAUGAAGGUUCUAUGGAUUGUAAACUUCUUUUAUUCGAGGGUAAAGUGAGGUAUGUAUACCUUAUUGCAAGUAUCGAAUGAAUAAGCAUCGGCUAACUCCGUGCCAGCAGCCGCGGUAAUACGGAGGAUGCGAGCGUUAUCCGGAUUUAUUGGGUUUAAAGGGUGCGUAGGCGGACGAUUAAGUCAGCGGUGAAAGCGUGUGGCUCAACCAUACCACUGCCGUUGAUACUGGUUGUCUUGAGUGUAAACGAGGUAGGCGGAAUGUGAUGUGUAGCGGUGAAAUGCUUAGAUAUGUCACAGAA
rnacentral:rRNA from 1 species